AACAGGGUUCCUGCCCUGUGGUAAGUAAAGAAUGUCACUUUCCGACAGGCCCAGGAGCCCCAAGUUUUACCUUGGACCCUCAAAAGGAGAGGAAUUCAUGCAACUCAUAGGUAUUUGAUGGUACAAAUCCAUGGCAGGGCUCAGCUUUAAACAAGUCUUUUCUGAGAUUCCUUCUAUGGAACAAAGUUUCAUCAAAGCCAAUUUAAAAGCCUGUGUAAAAAAAUAAUUAUUCUAGCUGCACUGUAUACAAAUAAUCAGGCCAAGAAUAAUAAAGGAAAUCAGUCCUACCAUGA
rnacentral:lncRNA from 1 species